rnacentral:rRNA from 1 species
GAUCCUGGCUCAGGAUGAACGCUAGCGGCAGGCUUAACACAUGCAAGUCGAGGGGUAUAGUUCUUCGGAAUUAGAGACCGGCGCACGGGUGCGUAACGCGUAUGCAAUCUACCUUUCACAGAGGGAUAGCCCAGAGAAAUUUGGAUUAAUACCUCAUAGUAUAGCAGUUUCGCAUGAAACCACUAUUAAAGUCACAACGGUGAAAGAUGAGCAUGCGUCCCAUUAGCUAGUUGGUAAGGUAACGGCUUACCAAGGCAACGAUGGGUAGGGGUCCUGAGAGGGAGAUCCCCCACACUGGUACUGAGACACGGACCAGACUCCUACGGGAGGCAGCAGUGAGGAAUAUUGGUCAAUGGACGCAAGUCUGAACCAGCCAUGCCGCGUGCAGGAUGACGGUCCUAUGGAUUGUAAACUGCUUUUGUACGAGAAGAAACAACAUUACGUGUAAUGUCUUGACGGUAUCGUAAGAAUAAGGAUCGGCUAACUCCGUG